GCCAACAUGGCUGAAGAGAAGGAGUAUUGUGAUCUUGAAGAGUUUAGUCGCGAUGGAGACAGUGAAUCUGAGCAGGAUGGUGAUGAGGAGGAAGAAAUAGAGAUGUGGGAUCUCACAUCUCCUCCAGAAUAUGAGUGGUUUCAUGGUUGCUUGGAUCGUAAGACAUCAGAAGAGCGUCUUAUGAAAGCAGGUCGUGCAGGCUCGUUUCUUGUAAGAGAGAGCGAGAGAAAGCCUGGCAGUUUUUGUAUCUCUUUUCUUUCUCACAAUGGCAUCAAUCAUUUCCGUAUCACUGCGGUGUGUGGAGAUUAUUAUAUCGGCGGUCGUCAGUUCCAGUCGGUCAGUGAUCUUGUGGGAUAUUAUAUGAAAAUCUCCACUCUCUUGGAAGAUGAACAGUUAGAGUUUCCUGUACCGCCACCAGAGCCAAUAGCUGAUCGAAGGCGAGUAAUUGCAAAGUAUCCAUAUGAAAAGACACCAGAUACUGAUGAAUUAAGUUUUAGUCAGGGAGAUAUAUUUCUUGUUGAAGCUAAUAUCAAUGAUGACUGGCUGUGGGUUCGGUCAAUGAGAAAUCGACAUGAGAGUGGUCUCAUACCUGUUGCUCUUGUAGAGAAAACGGAUGAUCAUAUGGAUCCCUAUGAGGGAAGAGAGUGGUUUAAUAGCAGGAUAACAAAAGAUGAAACACGAGACCUUUUGAUGGGAUCUCCAAUUGGAAGUUUUAUUGUGCGGCCAAGUGACACAGUUCGUGGUGACUACUCUUUGUCUGUUCGUAUAAGUCAGAGUGUUUCUCGAUUUCGUAUUCAACAUCAGAAGCAUCAAUAUGUGAUGGGUGGCAGACUGUUUGACAGCUUGGACUCUAUUAUUGAGCGUUACAAGACAGAACAUGUCGCCGAGAACUUGUCACUGCAAUAUCCUUCAAAAUGGAGAUCUGGAUCUGCCAAUCGAGACUCGACUGUUGGAGAGGUAGAGGCUUAUGCUGCAUUUCGAUCGCGUCCUGGACCAGUUAUUGUCAAACGUAUUGAUACAUCAAAGAAAGACUGGUUAUUUAAGAAAGGAUCAAAAAGCAACAGAUGGAAACAGCUAUUGUUUACUCUAAACAGUUCUGAGCAGCAGCUUUUUAUGCAUGAAAAUGAGAAGAGAGCAAAGCCAAAAGGCCUUAUUGAUCUCAGCUAUGCAACUCUAAUGUCUGUUCAUCCAUCAUUGUUUGGAAAACCACACUGUUUUCAAAUUAUUGUAAGAGCUUUCAACGAGAAACAAUUUUACUAUCUGUGUGCAGACACAGAGGAAGCAAAAAGAGAUUGGUUGUGUGCUAUUGCAAAGUGUUGUGGCAGUAGAAACAGUCGACUUGGAGCGAGUCGUCAUGGAGUACGGCAGCUGCAGAGUCUGCAUUUGACGGUUGUUGAGGCAAGGAAACUGCCAAAACAUUCACAUGCUUUCUGUCGAAUUCACUUUGACGAUAUGAAAGUGGCACGGACUCCUACUAAGGUGGCAAGUAAAGAGACACAGAAAGACAGUUGUGAAAUAAUAUGGGACGAAGUAUUCAAAUUUGAGGAUCUUCCAUUGGGUCUCACUGCUGUUUCUGUUGGAGUUUACAUGAAGAAUAAACGGUUGAAAGACAGUCAUGUUGGUUCUGUUGAUAUUCCAUUAUCAAGUUUACCAAAUUUGUCUGAGCAAGAUGAGUGGUAUGUACUUGGAGCAGCAAAGGGUCAAGGGAAGGCUGGACCAUCUGCAAGAAUUAAAGUCAAAUUUAUGCAUGAAGUGAUUAUGAGUAUUAUGAGCUAUGAGCCUCUCAAGGAGUUGUUGCUUGCUCAAGACUUGCUGGCUAUUAAAGCCUUAGAAAGUGUUUGUAAGGACAGCGUGAGGAAAGAACUAGCUGCUACUCUUGUAAGAAUAUUUAGACGAGAGAAGCAAGUCAUACAGCUAUUAAGAACAAUUGCAUCACAAGAAAUAGAAAGAGAAGGAGAUAUUGGCACAAUGUUUCGUGGAAACACUUUGGCUACGUUGUUGAUGGAUCAGUUUAUGGGAAUGGUUGCUGUACCAUAUCGUCAAUCUACACUUAGAAAUACCAUACAAUAUGUCAUACAACUUGAGCAGUCAUGUGAGCUUGAUCCUACUUUGGUAUCUCAACAUACACCAGUUAUUAGUGAGAACUUGGAACGUCUAAUUGGUGUGUUAGAGAGACUUCUGAAAGAAAUUUACAACUCAUGCGACAGCUGUCCCAUUGCUCUUCGUUAUUUGUUUGGUUGCCUUCAGAAAUCUGCUUCAGAAAAAUGGCCAGAAAGGCCUGAGGCAAGAACACGAAUUGUAAGUGCAUUCUUGUUCCUCCGUCUUCUUGGUCCUGCACUACUCAAGCCUAAAAUGUUUAAUCUGACAAGUGAACAGCCAUCAGAUACAGCCAAUAGAACACUCAAACUGCUCACCAAGGCUCUUCAGACUUUGGCCAACCUUCUUUCAUUUACAGGAAAGAAAGAACCAUACAUGGCUCAAGUCAACCCCUUCCUUGAACGAAAUCAAAAGAAAAUGGUGUCUUUCAUUGAUGAGUUGUCGGUAUGUACAAUCUCAGUCACAUGGAAUUGGCUUAAAUAUUCCACAUUGUCCUGUGACUGAUGGUGAUGUUUCAUCAAUUGAUUUGGCUCGUGAGUUGGCAACAGUUCAUCAUCUUUGUGUUUCUCAUCAUGAACAGCUGGAUAAAUUGAGUCAAGAUCAGCCUCAUGUAAAGCGGUUGACAGCCGUUACAUUGAUGCUGACACAAGAUGAAGAGACUCUAACAGCCCAUGAUAAUAGCUAGUGAUUGACUGACAUGCAUGUGGGUUUCUAUUCUAUCGAUACAAUGGGUGAAGAAGAUAUAAGACUUUGUAACCAUUUCAUAAUAACAUGUUCUGAAAAUGAAA